rnacentral:rRNA from 1 species
GGAGGGUGCGAGCGUUGUCCGGAAUCAUUGGGCGUAAAGGGCGCGUAGGUGGCGGGACAAGCGUGCGGUGAAAGCCUGGGGCUCAACCCCGGGUCGGCCGUGCGAACUGUUUUGCUUGAGCACUGUAGAGGCAGGCGGAAUUCCGGGUGUAGCGGUGGAAUGCGUAGAGAUCCGGAAGAACACCGGUGGCGAAGGCGGCCUGCUGGGCAGUAGCUGACACUGAGGCGCGACAGCGUGGGGAGCAAACGGGAUUAGAUACCCCGGUAGUCCUAGCCGUAAACGAUGGACACUAGGUGUUGGUGGUAUCAACCCCGCCAGUGCCGAAGCUAACGCAUUAAGUGUCCCGCCUGGGGAGUACGGCCGCAAGGCUA